GACGAACGCUGGCGGCGUGCUUAACACAUGCAAGUCGAACGGAAAGGCCCUGCUUUUGUGGGGUGCUCGAGUGGCGAACGGGUGAGUAACACGUGAGUAACCUGCCCUUGACUUUGGGAGAACUUCAGGAAACUGGGGCUAAUACCGGAUAGGAGCUCCUGCUGCAUGGUGGGGGUUGGAAAGUUUCGGCGGUUGGGGAUGGACUCGCGGCUUAUCAGCUUGUUGGUGGGGUAGUGGCUUACCAAGGCUUUGACGGGUAGCCGGCCUGAGAGGGUGACCGGCCACAUUGGGACUGAGAUACGGCCCAGACUCCUACGGGAGGCAGCAGUGGGGAAUAUUGCACAAUGGGCGGAAGCCUGAUGCAGCAACGCCGCGUGCGGGAUGACGGCCUUCGGGUUGUAAACCGCUUUCGCCUGUGACGAAGCGUGAGUGACGGUAAUGGGUAAAGAAGCACCGGCUAACUACGUG
rnacentral:rRNA from 1 species